rnacentral:rRNA from 1 species
UACGUAGGGUGCGAGCGUUGUCCGGAAUUAUUGGGCGUAAAGAGCUCGUAGGCGGUGUGUCGCGUCGGCCGUGAAAACCUGCAGCUUAACUGUGGGCUUGCGGUCGAUACGGGCAUCACUGGAGUUCGGCAGGGGAGACUGGAAUUCCUGGUGUAGCGGUGAAAUGCGCAGAUAUCAGGAAGAACACCCGUGGCGAAGGCGGCUCUCUGGAACGCAACUGACGCUGAGACGCGAAAGCGUGGGGAGAAACAGG